rnacentral:lncRNA from 1 species
UUCCUCUUGCUUCUGGUCGCUUCCUCGCAAUAUUAUUUGCACCUCUCCCUUAGACUUUAUUCUCAAAUUUUUUUGCACAAGGCAUCUUGAAUUUGAUUCUUUGAGCCUUUGAUUUCAAACUAGUCCUUAGCCUUUUUAUAUUUUAUUGCCUGAUUUUUCUUUCCUUAUAUUCAAACCGCUACGUGGGAAUUCCUAGUUUAUUUUCUUGUUCUUGGAUUGAUUUAUGGAGUAUAAACUUUCCUUCCAUUUUGCAAUUCAUAGACAAACUCGAGAGCAAAGGUCGUUUUAGGAUGCAGAAGUGGUUGAAGGAGUGGAAAUCUUUCUAUAUUUCAAGAAGAAGCUUGACCUGAAUGAAAAGCACGAGACAGAAAGAGGGGACAAAGCGCCAAUAGUCUGAGAGGGCAUUCUCGAAAGCAGCAAGGUCACAUCCAGGGACAUCAAGAGUUUAGGAAGAGGAUCUGGGCCCACAUAGCAGUAUUAUAUGAAUAUGAAAGGGUAUGGCUAUGGCUCGACCGGCAGAGACAAAAGUCUCCUUCUUCACUCUCGGUCUAUGAAAUUGGUUAUACCUCGGGAUCCUCAAUUUUAGUCUUUUAUAUAUUAUAGAUUACCUCUCUUAUUAAUCCUUACUAUAUAAGGGGAGAAUCAUUUUUGGAGGAUUGUACCCCUUGCCAAAUUCUAAAUUUACAAUGUCAAACAAAUUUAAUUGAUUUUUUUAUUUAUGAUUAUUUUAGUAUAAAAAAUAUAACUAUUAAUAGUCUUUUCAAAUUUCCACCAUGUAUAAAUUAUUAUUUAAGAGAUCAAGAAGUUAGAAUGAAUGUAUAUCGAUGAUGAGAAUAUUUCAAAAGGUUUU